CAGCGCCACAAGUGGCAACCACGUUUAUUGGGUCUAAAGCGUUCGUAGCCGGUUUAGUAAAUCUUUUGUGAAAUUGUCGGGCUUAACCUGACAGCGUGCAGAAGACACUGCUAAACUUGAGACCGGGAGGGGUUAGAAGUAUUUCAGGGGGAGCGGUAAAAUGUUAUAAUCCCUGAAAGACUACCAAUGGCGAAGGCAUCUAACCAGAACGGAUCUGACGGUGAGGAACGAAGGCCAGGGGAGCGAACCGGAUUAGAUACCCGAGUAGUCC
rnacentral:rRNA from 1 species